AUUGAACGCUGGCGGCAGGCCUAACACAUGCAAGUCGAGCGAGCGGCGGACGGGUGUGAAAUGUAUGGGGACUGCCCGAUAGAGGGGGAACACUACUGGACACGGUCGCUAAUCCCGCAUACUAUCGUAUCACCCAUAUGGGAUUCGCUAGUGGGUGGGGUAAAGGCUCACGUAGGCGACGAUCUCUAGCUGGUCUGAGAGGAUGAUCAGCCACACUGGGACUGAGACACGGCCCAGACUCCUACGGAGGCAGCAGUGGGGAAUAUUGCACAAUGGGCGCAAGCCUGAUGCAGCCAUGCCGCGUGUAUGAAGAAGGCCUUAGGGUUGUAAAGUACUUUCAGCCGGGAGGCUUUACCGGCAGAAGAAGCACCGGCUAACUCCGUGCCAGCAGCCGCGGUAAUAC
rnacentral:rRNA from 1 species